UACGUAGGGGGCUAGCGUUGUCCGGAGUCAUUGGGCGUAAAGGGCGCGUAGGCGGCCGUGCGUGUCUUCCGUGAAAUCCCUCGGCUUAACUGAGGACGUGCGGAAGAAACUGCAAGGCUCGAGUCCGGGAGAGGGGGGUGGAAUUCCCAGUGUAGCGGUGAAAUGCGUAGAUAUUGGGAGGAACACCGGUGGCGAAGGCGGCCCCCUGGACCGGUACUGACGCUGAGGCGCGAAAGCGUGGGUAGCAAACGGG
rnacentral:rRNA from 1 species